CACCGCGGUUAUACGAGAGGCCCAAGCUGACAACUCUUCGGCGUAAAGGGUGGUUAAAAUAAUAACUUAUUAAAGUCAAACUCCUCCCUAACUGUUGUACGUAUUUGGAGGAAAGAGGUCCUACUACGAAAGUGACUUUAAACAAUUGAACCCACGAAAGCUAUGGCA
rnacentral:rRNA from 1 species